GCUGGGGGGUAUUUUAUACCCAACACAAAUUGAUUUUAUGUGGUGAGAAAAUGUGUGAGAUAAUUUAGGUGGCGCAAGGGAUAGAGUCCUACUUAUUUGGGACUCUUGGGUUUAACCAAUUAGUUUUUUUUCAAUUCCAAUCCAAUUAGACCCAAAUAAAAAAUGAUGAACCUAAUCUAAUUAGGCUCUUAUAAUAUCAAUUAAAUUUGAUCAAAUC
rnacentral:lncRNA from 1 species